GAUGAACGCUGGCGGCGUGCCUAAUACAUGCAAGUCGAGCGAACGGACGAGAAGCUUGCUUCUCUGAUGUUAGCGGCGGACGGGUGAGUAACACGUGGAUAACCUACCUAUAAGACUGGGAUAACUUCGGGAAACCGUAGCUAAUACCGGAUAAUAUUUUGAACCGCAUGGUUCAAAAGUGAAAGACGGUCUUGCUGUCACUUAUAGAUGGAUCCGCGCUGCAUUAGCUAGUUGGUAAGGUAACGGCUUACCAAGGCAACGAUGCAUAGCCGACCUGAGAGGGUGAUCGGCCACACUGGAACUGAGACACGGUCCAGACUCCUACGGGAGGCAGCAGUAGGGAAUCUUCCGCAAUGGGCGAAAGCCUGACGGAGCAACGCCGCGUGAGUGGUGAAGGUCUUCCGAUCGUAAAACUCUGUUAUUAGGGAAGAACAUAUGUGUAAGUAACUGUGCACAUCUUGACGGUACCUAAUCAAAAAGCCCCGGCUAACUACGUG
rnacentral:rRNA from 1 species